CCAUCGAGUGGAGCGAGACCAUGGCCUCUUUUUGUCCGGCAAAAAGGAUAAUCCAGAAAGGCUCUGGAACCAAGGGUGCCGGAAAAUCGGUGGUGGACCUGCACAUGGCAGCAUCUUUGACUGGUUUCAUCACGGC